rnacentral:lncRNA from 1 species
CUUUAUUCUGGUAGACUGUCUCUUUCAUUUUUCAUCUACAAGAUUUUGUGUGCGGUAGUAGCUACAUAAUGUGCCAACAUCUUUUGUUUGCAUUUUAUGACAGGAGGCAAACAGAUUUAAGGUGCAGUACUGCCUCCUAUGUUGGAGAGUCUACCAACUCUCUAAACACUGUGUCUCUAAUGAGAGUAAUUGAUUUAACUAUGAACUGAACAAAUCUGUGGACAUGUUUCUUGGCAGACACUUGAGAUUUUGACCCGGGUGGAUCAGAUGUGCGAGAGACUCCAGAAAGCCGCAUCUCUGCUCGAGGGCAGGCUGGCUGAGCUUGAAACCUGGAGCACGGAAGCCCAAGAGGUCUGCCACCACCUAAAAGAUAGGCAGCAUAGGGACCACUGGGGGCCACAUUCCAGGGCUAAAGCACUGAUCACCAGAGGUCUACAGUUGGAAGGACAGGUUGUGACAGAAGGUGAGGACCUGCAGGUGCUUGUGACAUCUGUGCAAAAUAACUCCUCCCUUCCUUACCUCAGCACAUCGGCAAUACAAGACCGACUGAAACAGACGGUCUCACACUGUCAGGAGGUUAUUGAGAUGCUCAGUUCUCAUGGAGUGAAGCGUGAAGGACAGCCUGUAGGUGCACAGCCUGCUUCCGAGGUUUUUGUGCAGGCCCAUUCUCAGCCUGAAUCCCAAACUAGAGUCAUUCAACACCAUCAGGAUCAGACGUUCUUCCAAAGCAGCAAACUUUCUCUAGAGAUCCCAGCAGAACCUCAAAACCAAGAACUCCAUUCUUCUCAGCUGCAGUCACUAUUGGAAACCACCAGUGGCAUACAGCCCCAGUUUCUCCCCCAGGUUCAUGAAAAAUCUCCAAAAGCCCAAAGCAAAACUAUAUGCCAAGUACAGCAUGCAGAGCUCAAACAGCCUUUGCUGUCAUCUGUUGUUAGCAGGAAGGCUCAGUUGAAACCCCAAACUGACGUUCAACUGAUCUCUGUAGACUCCAACCUAACCAAUCGCUUUGGACUAUCAGACCUUCAAGCUGCCUCAGUAAAUUCAAGGCAAAACAGUGGCUUUGGACAUUUACAGGUUAUCUCUGUAGACCCAAACCAAUCCAGUGACUUUGGACCAUCAGAGCAACAGGUUCUUUCUGCCAACUCAAGCGGUUUUACACCAUUAGACUCUCUCCAAGUUAUAUCUGUAGACUCAGGCGAAACCAGGGGCUUUGGACCAUCAGAGCUUCAGGUUAUCUCUGUAGACUCAAGCCAGAGCAGUGGCAUUGAACAUUCAAACCCUCUACAGUCUUUCUCUUCAACUGCGUCUAGCACAAGCAUGUUGCUUACAUCGGUUACCAUGACUCAACUAAGAAUGCCAAGCGAGCAGCAUCUUGAUUCACCACCAAAUUGGCAACCACAAACCUCCUUGGUGACCCCACACCAAAGACAAAAGGUUCUGGCCAAAAGUCACAGUUUUCCAAAACCUCAUGAGCCAUCACAAACUCUGCCUGUUACCUCACUUGCAUCCAGCCCAAGCACUUUGCAUACACUGGUAACAGUGAGUCAACAAAGAACGCCUAUCGAACAGAACCUUGGUUCACCACCGAAAAGGCAACCUCAGACCUCUGUGACAACCCAACACCAAAGACAAAGGGUUCUAUCCAAAAGUCACAGCUUUCCACAGCCAUCAGAGGCUCCAGGUGUUCCCCAUGUCCCAGUACAGAAUGAGGUGUAUGCCAGAGCUCAGGCUUUGGCCAGGAGCAGACUGGAUAAAGCAAAACAGCACCUGCAUGAACACAUACAGGAUGUCAUCACAGUGAUCAGCACCAGAGACCGAUCUAAAAAACAAGCCAAGAAAAAACAAGCAGUGUCACGUCUUCUCAGGCCUUCAGUGUUAGAGGCAUUUCUAGAAGCUGUGAAGGGAAUGGGUGAUUUCUGCUCCGAUGCCCAGCUCAGAGACAUGGACCUCCUCUCUCAGUCAGUCAGAGCCCAAUGGGAGGUAUGUGCCACAGCAGCUGAGCGUUCGGUGCAUCUGGAAGCCUUGAGAAAAAUUGCAGAGAGUCUGCAGCCCACAGAGAGUGUUCUUCUCCGCACCACCCAUCUGAGAACAGACACGGAGAGGGUGGAGAACAUUCAACGCCACACAGACUCCACAAGUGACUUGGCACCAUGCCAGGAUGGCAGGGGGGGAGCAGUUAAGGAUUGUGUCCUGCUGAGAAAGACUGUACUGGUGGAUGAUCUGAGCCGCGUCCACUCACAGGCUGUUGUCCAGACCAACAUCGUGGAGAGAAAACAGAUACCAGAGAGGACCGUCAUCCAUCCCUGUUCGGCACAGGAAACUCAGAGCAGCUACAGUGCUGCACAGUCAGUCCUCCAGCAGCAACUGUUUAACAACAGUCAGCAGCUGGAAUCAGAGUUUCCCAUCAGCAAUGCCAGUAUCUCUGCUGACUCACUGAGGACUCAACUCCAGAACAUACUGGCUCUUAAGGACCGGACGGAGGCUCUGUGGCGUGAGUUUGAGCUUCAGUGUUCCCAGAGCUCUCAGCACAUGGAAGAUGGCUGUAACAUGGAGCAGGAGAGAACUCAGCUCAUUCAACAGUGGAGGGAGCAACAGAUGUGCAUUCAGGCCAGGGUGAAGUCCCUUGAAACUGCGUUGGAGCUGCUGCAGUCAGCGGACAUUCAGAUUGGACUGAUUUCUGAUCAGAUCAAACAGAUCAGUCAGAAACCUCUCAAUAUCAGAAACGUUGCCAUUGCUGAUCCCAAAAAUCUACAUGAAGAACUAAAGGUACAUUAUCCUCCAAAUUCAUCUUUGUGCUUGUAGAUACUUG